GAUCCUGCUCAGGAUGAACGCUAGCUACAGGCUUAACACAUGCAAGUCGAGGGGAAACGAUAUUGGAAGCUUGCUUCCGAUAGGCGUCGACCGGCGCACGGGUGAGUAACGCAUAUCCAACCUGCCCACCACUUGGGGAUAACCUUGCGAAAGUAAGACUAAUACCCAAUGAUAUCUCUAGAAGACAUCUGAAAGAGAUUAAAGAUUCAUCGGUGAUGGAUGGGGAUGCGU
rnacentral:rRNA from 1 species